rnacentral:rRNA from 1 species
GGCUACACACGUGCUACAAUGGGUAGAACAGAGAGUUGCAAAGCCGUGAGGUGGAGCUAAUCUCAGAAAACUAUUCUUAGUUCGGAUUGUACUCUGCAACUCGAGUACAUGAAGUUGGAAUCGCUAGUAAUCGCGAAUCAGCAAUGUUGCGGUGAAUACGUUCUCGGGUCUUGUACACACCGCCCGUCACACCACGAGAGUUGGUUGCACCUGAAGUAGCAGGCCUAACCGUAAGGAGGGAUGCUCCGAGGGUGUGAUUAGCGAUUGGGGUGAAGUCGUAACAAGGUAUCCGUACGGGAACGU